AGUAAUGUAACAGGUGGGUUAGAAUCUGAUCCUCAAUCUGAUCUUAGUCCUGACUCGGGGAAGAACAGGUGUGUUACUGUCAUACAGCCUCCAUUUUGACUGAGACACAGAGGAGACCUGAACACUUGACAGACAGCAGACUGACAUGACACACAACUACAAUCAGUACACAAGAACCUCUGCUCUCUUCCUCCCCCUCCUCUCUUCCUGUCUGCUAUGGGGGGCUCCUCCUCUAAGAAGACUGUAUUCGGGGGGAGAAAGAAGAAACGGGACUCAGUGUUGACCUGGAGUGAACUGAAGGGGGCACUAUCCAGUAAGAAACAGAAGAGAAGCAUCAUUCUUCCUACUCUGGACAAACUGUCAGUGGAUAACCUGAAGAGGGAGGUCCUUACUCCCAAUAGUACGUUUUCAGUGGCCGGGAAGAGGAAGGAGUCGCUGUCAAUCAAGAGGCUGUCAUUGGGUAACUCUAGGAAGGAGUCCGUGUCACCGAAGAGUCUCUCUCUGGGUAAGAGGAAGAAAGGAGAACAGAAGAUAUUCUCUCUGCUUAACACCAAGAAGGAAUCACCUCCACAAUCCAAAAAUAUAUUCUCUCUGGUUAACACCAAGAAGGAAUCACCACCACAAUCCAAAAAUAUAUUCUCUCUGGUUAACACCAAGAAGGAAUCUCCACCACCAGCCAAAAAUAUAUUCUCUCUGGUUAAUACCAAGAAGGAAUCUCCACCACCAGCCAAAAAUAUAUUCUCUCUGGUUAAUAUCAAGAAGGAAUCACCUCCCAAAGAGAGAUUAUCCCUGGCAAAUGUUAACCCCUUACUUUAAACCUGACCUAGGCCCAGGACAGAGAGACAGAUGGAUGGAUGGACAGGCAGUCAGACAGGACAGACAGAGAAAAUCAGAUGGACAGGCAGAGACAGAGACACAGGUGGACAGACAGACGGACAGAGUCGGCCGUCAUUGUAAAUAAGAAUUUGUUCUUCACUGACUUGCCUAGUUACAAAAUGUAAAGAAGGACAGACACAGAGAGUGUUUAGCUUCUAGUUUGUGUCCUUAUUCUCAUUCCUUGCAGCAUCAUAAAAGACAGACAUGAUCAAGCGAUGGCCGCACCCAGCGGCACGAUGACGCCAGGCAUAACCAAGCGAUCAGGCAGACAGACACAGAUUAGGAAUGUUUUCAUUUUUCUGGCUUUAUUUUCAGAGAGGUUUUGGUACAAAAAUAAAAAUCAGUAACAGAUUUUUAAAUGAAAGAGAAAAAACUGUUUCUCUAAAAUGUAGUAUUUUUUUGAAUUUUGGGGGGGAAAUUAUUUUUUAUGGGGAAAAAUAUGUUUUCAUAUGUGCUUAUGAUAAUAAUGCAUAUUAUCAGGCAUAUCUAAAUAUUUAGAAUAUUCAUAACCAGCAUUUCCCUUUUAUAGUUUCUCAGAAACAUUUUCCCUUUUCAGAGACGAUUUCAGCCAGUAAUGGUGAGAAUAAUCUCUCCUUUCUACUUAAAGGUGCACUCGUUCACUACAGUCAGAGAGAGACAGAUGGACAUACAGUCAGAGACUGGUGGACAUACAGUCAGAGAGAGAGACUGGUGGACUGCAGUCAGAGAGAGAGAGACAGGUGGACUGAGUCAGAGAGAGAGAGACAGGUGGACUGAGUCAGAGAGAGAGACAGGUGGACUGAGUCAGAGAGAGAGAGACAGGUGGACUGAGUCAGAGAGAGAGAGACAGGUGGACUGAGUCAGAGAGAGAGAGACAGGUGGACUGAGUCAGAGAGAGAGACAGGUGGACUGAGUCAGAGAGAGAGACAGGUGGACUGAGUCAGAGAGAGAGACAGGUGGACAGACAGUCAGAAGUGUUGUAGGUUCUCUUUAACAGAAGCGGUUUCCAUCAUUUCUGAACAUGAAAGUGAUUGUGAGGUCACAGCAACAACCAGAACACAUCAGUCUACAAUACAGACUGGUCUAUAGUCUAUUCAUUCAUUCUCUAGACAGCUAAACAACUGGCUCUGACACCAGCUUGAAAUACACUUCUUCAUGUUACCAUACUAUAACUUGAUUGAUGACUUUACAAGGAAUCUAUAUGUUAGGGGUCAAGGAAGGGUCAAGAGGAAGUGAAGGUUACUGUGAGAGAAAUGAGUAAGGUGAACAGGAGGUCACUGAUACACAUGGAGAAGAAGUCACCGGAUAAAAGAGGAACUGCUGUCAGACGGCUCGAACGCCAAGACAAUGAGGCAACAUCGAGGCAGUAUUGGGCAACAGAUGGCAGCUCUGAGAAGGUACAACCUGAUCUCCUCUUGACAUAUAAAGGCCUGUUUGAUCAUGUGUAAAAUGUGCUUGCAGCUGAGGUAUCCAGUGGGGUGAAUAAACAUGGUUUGAGUUUU